GGACGGGUGAGUAACACGUGGGCAACCUGCCUGUAAGACUGGGAUAACUCCGGGAAACCGGAGCUAAUACCGGAUAGUAUCUUGAACCGCAUGGUUCAAGUUGGAAAGACGGUUUCGGCUGUCACUUACAGAUGGGCCCGCGGCGCAUUAGCUAGUUGGUGAGGUAAUGGCUCACCAAGGCAACGAUGCGUAGCCGACCUGAGAGGGUGAUCGGCCACACUGGGACUGAGACACGGCCCAGACUCCUACGGGAGGCAGCAGUAGGGAAUCUUCCGCAAUGGACGAAAGUCUGACGGAGCAACGCCGCGUGAGUGAUGAAGGUUUUCGGAUCGUAAAACUCUGUUGUUAGGGAAGAACAAGUGCGAGAGUAACUGCUCGCACCUUGACGGUACCUAACCAGAAAGCCACGGCUAACUACGUGCCAGCAGCCGCGGUAAUACGUAGGUGGCAAGCGUUGUCCGGAAUUAUUGGGCGUAAAGCGCGCGCAGGCGGUUUCUUAAGUCUGAUGUGAAAGCCCCCGGCUCAACCGGGGAGGGUCAUUGGAAACUGGGAAACUUGAGUGCAGAAGAGGAGAGUGGAAUUCCACGUGUAGCGGUGAAAUGCGUAGAGAUGUGGAGGAACACCAGUGGCGAAGGCGACUCUCUGGUCUGUAACUGACGCUGAGGCGCGAAAGCGUGGGGAGCGAACAGGAUUAGAUACCCUGGUAGUCCACGCCGUAAACGAUGAGUGCUAAGUGUUAGAGGGUUUCCGCCCUUUAGUGCUGCAGCUAACGCAUUAAGCACUCCGCCUGGGGA
rnacentral:rRNA from 1 species